GGCGUAAGGGCUCGCAGGCGGUUUCUUAAGUCUGAUGUGAAAGCCCCCGGCUCAACCGGGGAGGGUCAUUGGAAACUGGGGAACUUGAGUGCAGAAGAGGAGAGUGGAAUUCCACGUGUAGCGGUGAAAUGCGUAGAGAUGUGGAGGAACACCAGUGGCGAAGGCGACUCUCUGGUCUGUAACUGACGCUGAGGAGCGAAAGCGUGGGGAGCGAACAGGAUUAGAUACCCUGGUAGUCCACGCCGUAAACGAUGAGUGCUAAGUGUUAGGGGGUUUCCGCCCCUUAGUGCUGCAGCUAACGCAUUAAGCACUCCGCCUGGGGAGUACGGUCGCAAGACUGAAACUCAAAGGAAUUGACGGGGGCCCGCACAAGCGGUGGAGCAUGUGGUUUAAUUCGAAGCAACGCGAAGAACCUUACCAGGUCUUGACAUCCUCUGAGGAUCCUAGAGAUAGGACGUCCCCUUCGGGGGCACAGUGACAGGUGGUGCAUGGUUGUCG
rnacentral:rRNA from 1 species